GCGACCCCAGGUCAGGCGGGAACACCCGCUGAGUUUAA
rnacentral:rRNA from 8 species